CACAGAUGUGUCUCCAACAGGAAGAUCGACAUGGGUCAAGGCCUGAAGUAGAGAAAGUAUUGAAAAUUAGGAGGCGAAAGAAUGAUACGGAUGUCGGACACGGUGUGGACGGACCGAUUGUUGCCGAAAAAGUCCACGGAAAAAA
ensembl:ncRNA ZK1290.21 ncRNA